AUGUCUGUAUGAAUUGGAUAUUCAGUCUGACCUGCCCACUGAGGUUUUAAAGGGCUGCGGUAAUUUGACCGUGCAAAGGUAGCAUAAUCAAUAGUCUUUUAAUUGGAGGCUUGAAUGAAAGGUUUGACGAAGGAGAAGCUGUCUUUUUUAUUAAAAUUGAAUUUAACUUUUGUGUAAGAAGGCAUUAAUGAUUUAGAGGGACGAUAAGACCCUAUAAAACUUUAUAUAUUAUAUUUAUUUAAUAAAAUAGUUAAUUAAUUAUUGGUGGUUAAUUAUAUUUUGCUGGGGUGGCAGGAAUAUAAUUCUAACUGUUUUAAGUGUAAAAUAUUUAUUAAUAGAGAGUGGUCCUUUGUUUGAGAGUUGAGAGUAAGUUACUUUAGGGAUAACAGCAUAAUUUCUUUUGAGAGUUCUUAUCGAAGAUGGUAGUUGUGACCUCGAUGUUGAAUUAAAUUUUCCUUUUAAUGUAGGAGUUUUAAGGGAGGGCCUGUUCGGCCUAUAAAU
rnacentral:rRNA from 1 species